CGCUGGCGGCAUGCCUAACACAUGCAAGUCGAACGAGACCUUCGGGUCUAGUGGCGCACGGGUGCGUAACGCGUGGGAAUCUGCCCUGGGGUGCGGAAUAACUCGGAGAAAUCCGUGCUAAUACCGCAUAAUGUCUUCGGACCAAAGAUUUAUCGCCCUGGGAUGAGCCCGCGUAGGAUUAGCUAGUUGGUGGGGUAAAGGCCUACCAAGGCGACGAUCCUUAGCUGGUCUGAGAGGAUGAUCAGCCACACUGGGACUGAGACACGGCCCAGACUCCUACGGGAGGCAGCAGUGGGGAAUAUUGGACAAUGGGCGAAAGCCUGAUCCAGCAAUGCCGCGUGAGUGAUGAAGGCCCUAGGGUUGUAAAGCUCUUUUACCUGGGAUGAUAAUGACAGUACCGGGAGAAUAAGCUCCGGCUAACUCCGUG
rnacentral:rRNA from 1 species